rnacentral:rRNA from 1 species
UGGGGAAUCUUGGACAAUGGGGGCAACCCUGAUCCAGCGAUGCCGCGUGAGCGAAGAAGGCCUUAGGGUUGUAAAGCUCUUUCGCCCGCGACGAUGAUGACGGUAGCGGGAGAAGAAGCCCCGGCUAACUUCGUGCCAGCAGCCGCGGUAAUACGAAGGGGGCUAGCGUUGUUCGGAAUUACUGGGCGUAAAGCGCACGUAGGCGGAUCGAUCAGUUAGGGGUGAAAUCCCGGGGCUCAACCCCGGAACUGCCUCUAAUACUGUCGAUCUGGAGUUCGAGAGAGGUCAGUGGAAUUCCGAGUGUAGAGGUGAAAUUCGUAGAUAUUCGGAGGAACACCAGUGGCGAAGGCGGCUCACUGGCUCGAUACUGACGCUGAGGUGCGAAAGCGUGGGGAGCAAACA